AUUUGGUCGUUUUAUGUUUUGUUAAAAUGAUUCUAAUUGUAUUUUUUGGUUUUUUUUCAAUCUAUUUUUUCUAACAAAUUUAAUGAAAGUACCGUUAAAAAAAUUAACGGGGAUGAUGUAAAUUUUCAUACAUGGAAUAUUUUUAAUGAGAUGUAAUUUAUCACUUAGAUAACCUAAUAAGAUAAUUAUACGUGAAAAAUAAAAAAAAUAAAAAAAUAAUACAUUAGAUUAAAAAAACUCUUAAUUUAAAGAAAAUAAAAGUAAUUAUCUAAAAAAAUUAACUCAGUAGAAAAUUUUCUCAGUAAAAAAACAUACGAAAGAUUAAAACCUUUUGAAAGAAAAGAAAAUUUGAAACAUUAAAUUUAUUUAUUAAAUCUGUUAGAAAAAGCAAAACAAAUGUUGAUGGCAAAAAAAAAGCUCAAAAAUACAAUUAGGGCCAUUUUGACAAAACAUGCAAAUGUUAAUG
rnacentral:pre_miRNA from 1 species